rnacentral:rRNA from 1 species
UACUAGCGGUCCAAGUCGCAAUCGCGUUUAUUGGGUCUAAAACAUCCGUAGCUCGUUAUGCAAGUCUCUUGUGAAAUCCCACGUCUCAAGCGUGGACGUGCGAGAGAUACUACAUAACUUGAGACCGGGAGAGGCAAGAAGUACGGUUAGGGUACCGGUAAAAUGGGUUGAUCCUAUCUGGACUAACAAUAGCGAAGGCAUCUUGCUAGAACGGAUCUGACAGUAAGGGAUGAAGGCUAGGGGCGCAAAACGG